GUGCUGACUUUGACGCACAUACACUAAAAUUGGAAAAAUAGAGGUUAGCAUGGUCCCUUUGUAAGAAUGACAAGCAAAUUCAUGAAUAGUUCCAUGUUUAA
rfam:Myotis lucifugus cont2.11593, whole genome shotgun sequence.